rnacentral:lncRNA from 1 species
CUAACAUUGGACAUUUUUACAAGGAUAUGUCAUUUUAAAGAAACCCUUCACAUUUGUGUAAGAAAUUUAUGUUGUUUCAUAAAGGAAAAAUGUUUACUACUACAAUUCUACACUUGUGUAGAUCUGACUUGUCAUGGGAAAAAGUUACUGCAUUUUUUUAAAUAUGGAAGCUCGAGAAAUGGCAAGCAUUUUUGUUUUGUUUUUCCUACUUGACACAAGCUAGAUUGGUCUGAGAGGAGGAAAUCUGAAUUAAGAAAAUGCCUCCAUCAUACUGGCCUUGGAGUUCUCUUGACUGAUGAUGGAUGGAGGGGUGGGGGACAUCCUGCUCACUAGGGUGGGGCCACUGUGGGUUGAAGGCUCUGGGUGCUUUAAGAAACCAGGCUCAGCAGGCCACAGGAGCAAGCUAAAGCCUUCAUCCAGCAGCUGAUGGAAGUUGAAGCAGAUACCCACAGCUAAACCUGAACUGAACUGGAAUCCAGUUGAAGAGAAGGAGGAGUGAGAGCAAAGAGUCAAGACCAGGCUGUUGAAACCCACAGAAAUACCGGACCUUAAUAAGGGAGAGAACUUGGCCCCCAGACUGAUCACUGGGAAACCAGCUUUGAACUCAUCCAGAUCCCAUGAAUGUAGGUGUCAGUGAGGAGGUCUCAGAAAUCUACGGGGCCUCUUGUGAUAGAUGAGUACUUAUCCCUAGCAUAGGAAUGGACUUUGGGAGCCCAUUUCACAUAGACGGAUACUGGCUCAGCCUACACACAUGGAGAAGGGCCUUGGCCAUAUGCCGAAGGAUAUGACAGAUAGGGAGGACGCUCCCAUGAAAUAUCUCACUUUUCCUCACUAUCCCUGAAAUGGCAUGGGAUAGGUACGGUUUUAGUCGGGGACUGUGUAGGAGGAGAAGGAGAAGGAACUGGGAUUGACAUGUAAAACAAUAUUGUUUUUAUUUAAAUUAGAAAAUGGAGGGGAAACAGAAAAGAAAAAGAAAUAAAAUUUAUGUUCACAUAAAUAUCUGUAAAAAAAACAACUUCAUUAUUUAUAAAAUAACUCUUGAGUUGAUGGAGUAGAUGGAAACAGGCUGGGGGAUGAGGGCAAUUGUAAAAAGACACACCUAGACUCUUAGGAAGGUGAUGACUGAAUUUUUAAACCUUAGUUUCUAUGGAAUUUUCUUACUG